rnacentral:rRNA from 1 species
UACGGAGGGUGCAAGCGUUACUCGGAAUCACUGGGCGUAAAGGACGCGUAGGCUGGUUAGAAAGUCAGGUGUGAAAGCCUACAGCUCAACUGUAGAACUGCACUUGAAACUUCUAAUCUAGAGUAUGGGAGGGGGAGAUGGAAUUAGUGGUGUAGGGGUAAAAUCCGUAGAUAUCACUAGGAAUACCUAAAGCGAAGGCGAUCUCCUGGAACAUUACUGACGCUAAGGCGUGAAAGCGUGGGGAGCAAACAGG